rnacentral:rRNA from 1 species
UGGGUGGUGACUGGAUGGAAAUCCCUGUCGACUAGGAGCAUGUAGGGGAGUCAAGGUACUUCUCUACAUCAUAAGCCGGUGAAGUGAAACAUCUCAGUAACCGGUGACGUGAAUCAACGGAGAAUCUCAGAGUAGUGGCGAACGAAAUGAGGGGGGCCUUGAUCUCAUCAUCUUACGCAUCUCUUCGGGGUGGAGACAUCUCGGGGAGUAGGCAACAGACUCUUCAGACCGGCAGGAAAACGUAAAGCCUGCGGGGAAUGAGGGGCAUAAGUAGACCAGAGAGGGUAAAGUACCGUUUCCUGGAUGAUGAGGUCAUGUGGAGAGUAGAGUGGGCCAUGUGCCAGGCUGCUUGAAGAUCGGGGGACCGUCCUCGAAGGCCAUAUCCAUUCCAUGACCGAUAGUGAACGAGUACCGUGAGGGAAAGACGGAUAAGUUCUUCGAAGGAACUGACAGAAAAGGCAUCGACUAGCUUGGAGGGUUCCUCUAGGUGGGGUAGAUGAGUCGGACAUACAGGAGGAGUGAAUACGUGGAUAACACCUUUUCGUGAGUUCGGUAGGUUGGCAACGAUCUACACUUUGAAGAGUUGACUGAAACCGGGCAGUCAGCAAACGGUCAAGGCGAAAGAAGAUACUCGCCAUGGCGUACUUUUGGUAUAAUGGGUCAACGACUUAGGGCAUGUGGGCUAGCUUAUUGGGAGAGGUAGGCACAGUGAAGGCGAUGGGGCUAACGUCCGUUGUUGGAAAUGGGUCCGCAUGCUUAGACGCGAAACCAGUCGAUCUCCCCAUGACCAGGUUGAAGAGUUCGUAAUGGGAUUUGGAGGACCGAACCAGUAGUCGUUGUAAUGACUUUGGAUGAGUUGUGGGUAGGGGUGAAAGGCUAAUCAAGGCUGGUGAUAGCUCGUUCUCUGCGAAACAUGUUUAAGCAUGGCGCUGCGUGGAGUGUGUGAGAGCACAGGAAGGAACAAAGGGGUAGAGCACGACGUUGAGGAGGGGGUGUCAAAGCCUACCAACUCUUGGUUAACUCUGAAGGACUUUGGGAGACGCAGUAGUUCGACGGUGGCAGACAAGUGCCAUCAGUCGAGAGGGAAACAGCCCAGAUACGUGUGUAACGUCUUAAAGUAUUGGCUUAGUGGUCGAAGGAGGUGAACACUCGAUGACAGCAGGUUCGUAGGCUUGGAAGCAGCCAUCGAAGAAUGACCUCGUAAUAGAGCGCCUGAAGAGGGUGUUUGCGCCGAAGAUACACGGGACUGAAGCCAAUCACGGAACACAAUACACCAAGGACUUCGUGAGAAGUAUGCUUGGAUGGGUAGCAGAGCGUCCUGUAGAUCAAUGAACGGGGAUUGUUAAGUUCUCGGGAGGUAUCAGGAUUGAGCAUGUUGACAUGAGGUAGUGUAAAUCAAUGGAUCUGGUUGUGGGAUGGGAGGUAACUUCUGUGUCACAGCCCAGAUAUGUAAAUCAGAUCAUAGAGACCGAAAGCUCAAGGUUUCUGUAACAAGUGAUGGUGAAGCGGUUCCUAAGGAAUAGCCGAAAGGUGAAUUCGAUGGGGUGAAGGAGAGUGACAGGGGGAUGACGGGUGGGAUCGCCGGUGAGUGGGCUCGCGUAUCAGACGGAGGUAGCAACAGCGGGUCGAACCAUUGGGUAGAAUAAGAGAUGGACCCCACCGAAGUAGACGGAUUGGCCCGUGAUUCCCUUCUUGAAAGAGCCACUUCAAUAAACCGUACCGAGACCAACGCUGGUGAGCUGGUGUAGUACACCAAGGUUUCAAACGAAGGUAAUCUAAGGAACUCUGCAAAAUCACUCCGUAAGUUCGCGAGAAGGAGGCCUGAGAGUCGACAGUGGGAUGAAAGACGCUCACUUCGACUUUGAGGCGCAGGGAAUAGGGGGGUGCGACUGUUUACCAAAAACACAAGUUUACGCGAAGCUGUAAGGCAUCGUAUGUGAGCUGACGCCUGCCACGUACUCGUCACUGGACGGCGGAUGUGAAAGCAUCUAAAGGAAGGUCGAGCUAACGGCUGCGGUAACCUUGACCGUACUAAGGUAGCGUAGUUCCUUGUCCACUAAUUAUGGUCGUGCAUGAGAGGCGUAACGACACCCCCGCUGUCUUGGGUUACUAGUUGUCGAAAUUGGCGAGGCCGUGAGGAUACGGUCAUGUCACUGUGGGACGAAAAGACCCUAUGCACCUUGACUGGAGGUUCGCUUUCUGUACUUCGAAGGAGUUGUGUAGCGUAGAUGGGAGAACAUUCGAGCAAUGUUCGACGAUGAAACACCAUCCUUCUCUUCGUUGGCAGUUACCUUCAAACUCGAGAAAAGAGGUUAUACUCGUGAGAGUAUAGAUUGAUUGACUCGGAUGGGGGACAGAGCGUGCGUGCUAGUUUCGCUGGGGCGGCGGCCUUCUAAAGAGUAACGAGGGUAUACGAAGGCCAUCUCACCGGAGCCUAACACUCCGGGGUGAGCGUAUGGGCAGAUGAUGGCUUAACGGAGAGAGAGGGAUCUCCAUCCGAGAUGACGUGUGGGGAUGAAAGUUCUCACAGGUUGUCGGUCCAAGUGAACCGGUAUUAACCUACGGAGGUGAUAUCGAUUGAUCGACAAAAGGUACGCUAGGGAUAACAGGCUGAUGCCCGUUUAGAGUUCCUAUCGAUGCGGGCGUUUGGCACCUCGAUGUCGACUCAGGUCAUCCUGGGGCUGAAGUAGGUCCCAAGGGUUCGGCUGUUCGCCGAUGAAAGACCUACGUGAGUUGGGUUCAAAACGUCGUGAGACAGUUUGGUCUCUAUCUGCAGUGACGGCUAGACGGAACGAAGAGGAUUGUUCUUUAGUACGCAAGGACCGAGAACAGAGAGCCUAUGAUCGAGUGGCUGUGGAGAAUGGUGGGUUCGUUCUUCGCAAGCCAUGUCGUUACGCUCUUAGGGGAUAACCGCUGAAAGCAUCAAUGUGGGAAGCCUUCCUUAGCAUAAGUUCCGCGAUAAACCGAUCGUAGAUUCCGAUUUCAAUAGGCGGAACAUGGACACAGGGUAACCUGAGCAGUGGAUCCGUACUAAGUUUU